ACAAAAGCAGAUAAAAAACACAAAAACAACACAAACAUAAAGCAAGCAAAGCAAAAAUCUACAAAACCAACGAAAGUUCCCGCAUUGAAACAUGGUUGAAACACACACUUUGAAACAAGAACAUAAAAAUAAUUAAAGUAAAAAUAGCACAGGAUUACAAGCAUAAAGGCGAUCCUUAAAUGCGUAAAGCAAAAAAAGCUUAAACAGCCAUACAAAUUCAAAAAAAUGCAAUUAAAAAACACUCAUGCAUGCAUAGACCAGCAUAACAACAACAAACAGUAAAUAAAUCAUUUACACAAAUGAAAAAAUGUGAAGCGCAAUGCAAAAACAACAAAAGCACAAACAGAUUAUUGGUAAAACAAUAAACACAAAAGCAACGCGGCUUAAUUUUUUCGCAAUAAAUAGGCGUUAAAUACAUAGGCUAAUAAAUAUUGACAGUAAUAACAAUAAUUAUACGCAAAUUAAAUCAUGAAGAAGGCGGGAAAAAAGGCAAGCUGUGUAGCACAUGCAAUUGGCAACAAUUCAAAUUCAAUAAAAGGCAAUACAUUUUUUUGAAGAGACCGUAAACAAUUGGCGCCGAACUGAUAGCAUUAAGUUACCAUUUUUUACAAGCUCAUAAUUUUACAAUAACAACAGCAAGCAAAUCUAGCAGUUGAAACAAAGUUUAAAAGCAGGCGGUUUAAGCAAGAACAUAGCGGUAUAAGAAUGUAAGUAGAAUCAUGAUACUACAGUUUUUAGCUUUUGAGUUUAGUUUACAUUUUUCAAGAGUUUUCCAAUGCAUUAAUGGGUUAACUUAACUUUUAUAUUGUCAACACGAAUUACUCCUGAGCCUUUCUUAUAAAAUAUUAAAAAUGAAAGAAGCUUUUAUACAUACUUUUCUAUUCUCAAAUCGAGUUACAACUGAGCUUUUCGUAUAAAAGCUCACACAUUUUUAAACAUCAGUAUUCUAUUAAGUUAGUACAAGUGAUAGCGUCUGUUAGUUAGGAACCUUGAAAGAUUUUAUUCAAAAUUUCGAAGCUUAAAGCUUAGGUCAAAGUUUACAUUUUUUAUUUACUGUACAUACAUUUGUGUAUGAUACAAGUAAAAGCAUCUGUAACUUUUUGAGCCUUGAAAGCUUUUGCUCAAAAUUGUGAGCUUAAAGCUCAGGUCAGCACUCGAUCAGAACCCCACAUGUUAUUUGAUAUGAUCUUUGAUUAGUACAAGUAGCAGAGCUCGUAAUUUUAUCAACCUUGAAAGCUUUUGUUUAAAGUUCCGAAGCUUAAAGCUCAAAUCAGCACUUCACACGCCCCUACAUGUUAUUCUGUGUUUGAAACAAGUGAUAGCGCCUGUUACUUAAUGAUCUUUGAAAGCUUUUGCUUAAAAUUUCUCAGCUUAAGCUUUCUCAGAUCAGCACUCCAUAAGAGCGUAUAACUUGCUACACAUAUUUUUGUCUUAAAAAUUACGCUAAAAUACUGAUGUUAACACUCUUGUCUCAAUAUUCCAUCAAUAUCUAAAGCUUAAAUAAAGUUUUAAUAUCAGUCACGGACAAAUAUGAUAUUCUAUAACCUUAACGUAGUAAAUAUUAACACCACCUAUCUCUUUCGCAAUAAAUACAAUCAUGUUUCAAAUAUUUUCAGCUAUAUUUAACGUUUUUGCUUAACGAAAAAUUUAGUUUGAAAAAAAAUAUUCUUGGCAAUUUGAUAUAUUUUAGAUUUUUGUUUAGAAAAAAGUCCGAAAGCUCUGAGUUGAAUAUUAUAGAAAGAGGCAGAGACGAAAUUGAUCGUGCAGUUUUCUAAAAACUUUUUUGGUUUUUAAAAUAUAUGCAGUCAACCAUAAAAGCUUUUUUUAGAACUUAAAGUUCACUGAAUUAACUAUUUCAAGAGUACGUGGCAGAAAAAUAUCAUGCGAUUUUCUAAGUAAAUUGUAGGUGUAAUAGAAACAAAUUUUUUUGGAGCUUAAAGCUUUACACGGUUCUCGAGAAAAACUGUGGUUAGCAAAAUUCUGAAAAUCUUCUACCAAAUUGGCAAUAAGUUAAAAACUACAAAAAUGUUUUCUUGGAAUAUUAUUUACAGUCACUCCAAAAGCGCUGCCUUAAACUUGUUCAGUUGUUGAUAUGAAAAGCUCUUAUGUAUUCUUUACUAAAUGUUUCCUAGAAACAAUUUAAUCUGCUGAAUAAAGGAACACUGAAAACUCUUGGGAAAAAGCUUAAAAUAUGCUCAAAGCUUAGACCAUAAACUUCAAGCGUUUGUAAGCUAUUACAAAUUCACUUUAAAUACAAAAAAUCGCAACAACAACAACAGUUUUAUUUUGCGCCUACGCUUGAAACUGCGUUGAAGGAAUAAUACUUUACAGGUUGUCCCAAAUUUAGAUUUUCCGCUAUUUCAAUUAAUCUUCAGAGUUGACGAAGUUGAAACACUAUAAAGAUCAUAUUUUGUUUGAAAUUUUCAAACUGCGGCCACCAAACUUUCGUUGCUUUUGAAAUAUUGAUCAAUAAUAAAGACACAUUGUUCUAUUGAGUAACGCUCCUUUUUUCUUAAGCCUAAACUGUCAGCCGUCGCUUUUUUUGGGGACACCUUGUAUUCAGUUCCAAUCUUGCGUUUACUUUUGGAAGCGCUUUAUACAAGUAUAUCACCAUGACUUUUUUCUGAUUAAAAACACAUAAAUUUACCGCUUAACAUACUCUAUCGCCAGCUCAAGUCUAUAACUAAAGCUCACAUACUAUACAGCGUCACCUAAAAUGCAAAAUAACGUAUCAUCAUAUUUUAAAACGAAAACCCAAAUUUUGUUCCAAUAUGAGUAAUUUCUAUUAUAACGAUUUUCCUUCGCCUCUAAACUUUUGAAAAAUGAUGCUACGUUAUUUUGCAUUUUAGAUGACGAAAUACUCUUCAGACCGUUUGCGUUGCCUUUAAACUAAACUAUCUAUUUUCCUUUCAAUGAACUAGUAUUAAACAGAAUUUUGAAUAAAUGCAUGUGUAGACGAAAUCAUAAGAAAUAAAUUACGCGUAUUAAAAGUGAAAAUCGACAAGCAAUGUGAUGUUAAGUUUGAAUGCAUUUAACUAUUAUUGAGAGAAAAACAACUGUAACUAUGAGCAAUUUCGCUUGAAACCUAUGAAGUAUUUGCUACAUAAAAGUAAAAAAAAAACUAAUGAAAAUUUAACCAAUGCACCUUAAGUUACUCUAAUAUAUUUUUAAUCUCAAAAUACAUACUUUAAACAUAUAAAAUAAAAUAAAACAUAAUCUAACAAAAGUAAAUGAAAAGUAGAAAAAUGCGCAAAAGCAACAGCAGUCCAUAGCUUUUAAGUCAAAGUGCAUUCGACUAUUUAAAUGGAAUGUUUAACAGCAAAAAGAACAAAAGGGAAUCAAUUCCCUUGGUCAUUUUAUAUAAUUUCUCAUGAAAACAUUUUUAGUUUUGCGUAAUAAAAAUUUAAUAAAUCAGUAAAUACUUGAAAGCGUAUUGCCUUUUU